GGGCUGUUAGCUCAGUGGUAGAGCGCUCGCUUUGCAUGCGAGAUGCCGAGGGUUCGAUCCCCUCACAGUCCA